GGGGAUGAUAUGGCUUCGAUUAGAGCAUCGAGGCUUGAUUGCAUGUCGGCCUGAGCAUGCCGUUACGCGGCUCAUUUUUUUUAGACGCAAACAAUACAAAUUACGCUCCAGCUUACGCAAAAGCUGCGUAAGUUUAACAACUUAUAACGAGCUCCCUUCGGGUUGAGCUUUUGGAGGUUCGCUCUGUAGAUUCUAUCUAUGCAGGAUAUAGCGGAUUCACCCAGAUAGAUUACCAAAAAAAGAUUGAUCUACCUUUUUUGGGACACUCCUAGAUCUUAGCUUUUUAGUUGCCUUGCGGGUUGAGCUGCUAUAAAGUGAAAUUUUUCAAUCCUUUCUAAGCAUGUAGACGUCAAGAGUAGAUGUUUUAAGACUCCGGUUCGAUCCCGGACAUCUCCACCA
rnacentral:tmRNA from 1 species